GAAUAUUGGACAAUGGGGGCAACCCUGAUCCAGCCAUGCCGCGUGCGUGAAGAAGGCCUUAGGGUUGUAAAGCGCUUUCACUGGUGAAGAUGAUGACGGUAGCCAGAGAGGAAGCCCCGGCUAACUCUGUGCCAGCAGCCGCGGUAAUACAGAGGGGGCAAGCGUUGUUCGGAAUUACUGGGCGUAAAGGGCGCGUAGGCGGCCUUCUAAGUCGAACGUGAAAUCCCCGGGCUCAACCCGGGAACUGCGUCCGAUACUGGAAGGCUUGAAUCCGGGAGAGGGAUGUGGAAUUCCAGGUGUAGCGGUGAAAUGCGUAGAUAUCUGGAGGAACACCGGUGGCGAAGGCGGCAUCCUGGACCGGUAUUGACGCUGAUGCGCGAAAGCCAGGGGAGCAAACGGG
rnacentral:rRNA from 1 species